AGAGACUAAUGCUUCUAUGUAAGAGUUUUGGUUCUUUUUUUAUGGUUUUAUUUAUUUUUAAAAUAAAUUUACACAUAUAAUUCUACUUCAACAUUCAGAUUUAUAUGCAUAUAUUGAUACACACACACACAAAUUUUAAAGGUAACCCUCUCCAUAAGCCUAGUCCAUAACUCAGAAUUCAACCUAAUACUACCCAUAUCCAUGAGCCUUUUAUACAGAAAUUAUAAUCAUUACAUUGAAUAUUCAUGUAUUUUUAAUACAUACAUUCCUGUAUGUUUAUAUACAUUCAUACAUAUACAUAUAUCCUAUCGGUAAACAAAAUACUACACAUAUUUUAAUACAUAUUCAUUUAUAUAUUUAUAACAUACAUCUAAGUCAAAUUGUAAGCAUCCAUCUCAACACAAAUCCAGAUACAUAUAAAUAUUUUAAUGUAUAUCCAUAUUGAAUUUAUACAUAUGGAUAAAAAUGUUUAAACCUUAGCUCUAACCUUAACCCUUUUUCACUACAUGGUCUGUCACUACAACUAUGGCUCAACAGAAACCUCUACACAUAUAGACCAGAUCACUUUACAUGAACGUACCUAUAUAGUUGGGGAUAUAAAUUUUUAAAUUCACAUAAAAAUCCAGAGAUAUAUAUAAUUUCUUUUUUUCAUUUCCAUUGGCAAGCCCCAAAUUUAAC
rnacentral:lncRNA from 1 species